UACGUAGGGGGCAAGCGUUGUCCGGAUUUAUUGGGCGUAAAGAGCGUGUAGGCGGUUUGGUAGGUCCGCUGUGAAAACUCGAGGCUCAACCUCGAGACGCCGGUGGAAACCAUCAGGCUAGAGUCCGGAAGAGGAGAGUGGAAUUCCGGGUGUAGCGGUGGAAUGCGCAGAUAUCAGGAGGAACACCGAUGGCGAAGGCAGAUCUCUGGGCCGUAACUGACGCUGAGGAGCGAAAGCGUGGGGAGCGAACAGG
rnacentral:rRNA from 1 species